GACCUAAACUCACUUUGUGGGCAUGGUCGUAAAUACGAACAAACAUAGAGAUGGCUCUCUCGUCUUUGGUAUGUUUGUUCGUCAAUAGCUGAAAGGUUAUUGGAUCCCGCAAGGGGUC
rnacentral:sRNA from 12 species